rnacentral:rRNA from 1 species
UACGUAGGGGGCAAGCGUUGUCCGGAAUCAUUGGGCGUAAAGCGCGUGUAGGCGGCCCGAUAAGUCCGCUGUGAAAGUCCAGGGCUCAACCCUGGGAUGCCGGUGGAUACUGUCGGGCUCGAGUCCGGAAGAGGAGUGUGGAAUUCCUGGUGUGAGCGGUGAAAUGCGCAGAUAUCAGGAGGAACACCAAUGGCGAAGGCGACACUCUGGGCCGGUACUGACGCUGAGGAGCGAAAGCGUGGGGAGCAAACAGG